rnacentral:rRNA from 1 species
AUUGAACGCUGGCGGCAGGCCUAACACAUGCAAGUCGAACGAGCGGCGGACGGGUGAGUAAGGUCUUGGCAACUGCCCGAUGGAGGGGGAUAACUACUGGAAACGGGAGCUAAUACCGCAUACUAUCGUAUGUGCCCGAAUGGGAUUAGCUUGUCGGUGGGGUAAUGGAUCACCUAGGCGAGGAUCCCUACCUUGUCUGAGAGGAUGACCGGCAACACGGGAACGGAGACACGGUCAAGACGCCUACGGGAGCCAGCAGUGGGGAAUAUUGCACAAUGGGGGCAAGCCUGAUGCAGCCAUGCCGCGUGUAUGAGGAAGUCCUUCGGGUUGUAAAGUACUUUCAUCGAGGAGGCGUUAAUCGAAGAAGAAGCACCGGCUAACUCCGUGCCAGCAGCCGCGGUAAUAC